rnacentral:rRNA from 1 species
GGAGGAAAAGAAAAUAACAAUGAUUUCCCUAGUAACGGCGAGUGAAGAGGAAAGAGCUCAAAGUUGGAACCUGUUUGGCUUAGCUAAACCGGAUUGUAAACUGUAGAAACAUUUUCCAGAUACACUAGACAAAAAAGUCCUUUGGAACAGGGCAUCAUAGAGGGUGAGAAUCCCGUCUUUGGUCUAAGUAGUUGUCUAUUGUGAUAUGUUUUCAAAGAGUCAGGUUGUUUGGGAAUGCAGCCUAAAUUGGGUGGUAAAUCUCACCUAAAGCUAAAUAUUUGCGAGAGACCGAUAGCGAACAAGUACCGUGAGGGAAAGAUGAAAAGAACUUUGAAAAGAGAGUUAAACAGUAUGUGAAAUUGUUAAAAGGGAACCGUUUGGAGCCAGAUUGGCUUGAUUGUAAUCAACCUAGAAUUCGUUUUGGGUGCACUUGCAGUCUAUGCCUGCCAACGACAGUUUGAUUUGGAGGAAAAAAUUAAUAGGAAUGUGGCCUUUCGAGGUGUUAUAGCCUAUUAUCAUACUCUGGAUUGGACUGAGGAACGCAGCGAAUGCCUUUAGGCAAGAUUGCUGGGCGCUUUCGCUAAUAAAUGUUAGAAUUUCUGCUUCGGGUGGUGCUAAUGUUUAAAGGAGGAACCCGUUUAGUAUAUUUUUUAUUCGCUUAGGUUGUUGGCUUAAUGACUCUAAAUGAC